rnacentral:rRNA from 1 species
AUUGAACGCUGGCGGCAUGCUUUACACAUGCAAGUCGAACGGCAGCGCGGGCUUCGGCCUGGCGGCGAGUGGCGAACGGGUGAGUAAUGCAUCGGAACGUGCCCAGUAGUGGGGGAUAGCCCGGCGAAAGCCGGAUUAAUACCGCAUACGACCUGAGGGUGAAAGCGGGGGACCGAAAGGCCUCGCGCUAUUGGAGCGGCCGAUGUCGGAUUAGCUAGUUGGUGGGGUAAAGGCUUACCAAGGCGACGAUCCGUAGCUGGUCUGAGAGGACGACCAGCCACACUGGGACUGAGACACGGCCCAGACUCCUACGGGAGGCAGGAGGGGGGAAUUUUGGAAAAGGGGGGCAACCCUGAUCCAGCCAGGCCGGGUGGGGGAAGAAGGCCUUCGGGUUGUAAACCGCUUUUGUUCGGGAAGAAAUCCUCUGGGCUAAUACCCCGGGGGGAUGACGGGACCGGAAGAAAAAGCACCGGCUAACUACGU